rnacentral:rRNA from 1 species
GGUAGUCCCAGACUCCGUAAACGUUGAGGCAGCUAGGUGUUGGCGAAUAUUGCACGUCGUCGGUGCCGACAGCCUAACGCAUUCAGUUCGACGCCGCGUGAGGGAGUGACGGCCUUCGGGUUGCUAAACCUCUUUCAGCAGGGAAUUGAAGCGAAAGUGACGGUACCUGCAGAAGCAGCGGAGCAUGUGGCUUAACUUCGAUGCCACGCGAAGAACCUUAGCAAGGCUUGACAUACGUACCGGAGCGCAUCAGCGAUUGUGCCGGCCUUAUUGGUCGGUAUACAGAGCUGGUAGGCAUGGCUGUCGUCACGCUCGUGAUCGUGAGAUGCCUUGGGCUUAAGUCCCGGGUCUGCAUUCGCAUACGGGCUUGUUCUAGAGUGUGGUAGGGGAGACGGAUGUCCUUGGUGUACGGUGAAUGCGCGGACUCACAGGAGGACUGCCGGUGGUCGAAGCUCGGAGGAAGGUGGGGACGACGUCAAGUCAUCAUGCCCCUUAUGUCUUGGGCUGCACACGUGCUACAAUGGCCGGUACAAUGAGCUGCGAAGUCGUGAGGCGGAGCGAAUCUCAAAAAGCCGGUCUCAGUUCGGAUUGGGGUCUGCAACUCGACCCCAUGAAGUCGGAGUUGCUAGUAAUCGCAGAUCAGCAUUGCUGCGGUGAAUACGUUCCCGGGCCUUGUACACACCGCCCGUCACGUCACGAAAGUCGGUAACACCCGAAGCCGGUGGUCACAACCCCUUGUGGGAGGGAGCUGUUGAUAGGAGAUAGUUGCUUGCAGCCGAG